AUGCCUACGGGACGCAGCAGUGGGGAAUAUUGCACAAUGGGGGAAACCCUGAUGCAGCGACGCCGCGUGAGCGAUGAAGUAUCUCGGUAUGUAAAGCUCUAUCAGCAGGGAAGAAAGUGACAGUACCUGACUAAGAAGCCCCGGCUAACUACGUGCCAGCAGCCGCGGUAAUACGUAGGGGGCAAGCGUUAUCCGGAUUCACUGGGCGUAAAGGGAGCGCAGGCGGCCUGCUAAGUCUGGAGUGAAAGGUACCGGCUCAACCGGUACAGGCUCUGGAAACUGGCGGGCUAGAGAGCAGGAGAGGG
rnacentral:rRNA from 1 species